rnacentral:rRNA from 1 species
CUACGGGUUGCUCCAGUGGGGAAUAUUGCACAAUGGGCGAAAGCCUGAUGCAGCAACGCCGCGUGAGGGACGACGGCCUUCGGGUUGUAAACCUCUUUUAGCAGGGAAGAAGCGAAAGUGACGGUACCUGCAGAAAAAGCACCGGCUAACUACGUGCCAGCAGCCGCGGUAAUACGUAGGGUGCAAGCGUUGUCCGGAAUUAUUGGGCGUAAAGAGCUCGUAGGCGGUUUGUCGCGUCUGCUGUGAAAAUCCGAGGCUCAACCUCGGACCUGCAGUGGGUACGGGCAAACUAGAGUGCGGUAGGGGAGAUUGGAAUUCCUGGUGUAGCGGUGGAAUGCGCAGAUAUCAGGAGGAACACCAAUGGCGAAGGCAGAUCUCUGGGCCGUAACUGACGCUGAGGAGCGAAAGCGUGGGGAGCGAACAGGAUUAGAUACCCGGGUAGUC